GAUGAACGCUGGCGGCGUGCCUAAUACAUGCCAGUCGAGCGAACGGACGAGAAGCUUGCUUCUCUGAUGUUAGCGGCGGACGGGUGAGUAACACGUGGAUAACCUACCUAUAAGACUGGGAUAACUUCGGGAAACCGGAGCUAAUACCGGAUGAUAUUUUGAACCGCAUGGUUCAAAAGUGAAAGACGGUCUUGCUGUCACUUAUAGAUGGAUCCGCGCUGCAUUAGCUAGUUGGUAAGGUAACGGCUUACCAAGGCAACGAUGCAUAGCCGACCUGAGAGGGUGGUCGGCCACACUGGAACUGCGACACGGUCCAGACUCCUACGGGAGGCAGCAGUAGGGAAUCUUCCGCAAUGGGCGAAAGCCUGACGGAGCAACGCCGCGUGAGUGAUGAAGGUCUUCGGAUCGUAAAACUCUGUUAUUAGGGAAGAACAUAUGUGUAAGUAACUGUGCACAUCUUGACGGUACCUAAUCAGAAAGCCACGGCUAACUACGUG
rnacentral:rRNA from 1 species